rnacentral:rRNA from 1 species
AUACCGGAUACUCCCCCCGGCCCGCAUGGGGCGGGGGGGAAAGCGUACACGGCGGGGGAUGGGCCCGCGGCCUGUUAGCUCGUUGGCGGGGUAACGGCCCACCAAGGCGAUUAUGGGUAGCCGGGUUGAGAGACCGACCGGCCAGAUUGGGACUGAGACACGGCCCAGACUCCUACGGGAGGCAGCAGUGGGGAAUCUUGCACAAUGGGCGAAAGCCUGAUGCAGCGACGCCGCGUGCGGGACGAAGGCCCUCGGGUUGUAAACCGCUUUCAGCAGGGACGAGGCGAGAGUGACGGUACCUGCAGAAGAAGCCCCGGCUAACUACGUGCCAGCAGCCGCGGUAAUACGUAGGGGGCGAGCGUUAUCCGGAUUCAUUGGGCGUAAAGCGCGCGUAGGCGGCCAGUUAGGUCGGGAGUCAAAUCCGGGGGCUCAACCCCCGCCCGCUCCCGAUACCGGCUGGCUUGAGUCUGGUAGGGGAAGGUGGAAUUCCAAGUGUAGCGGUGGAAUGCGCAGAUAUUUGGAAGAACACCGGUGGCGAAGGCGGCCUUCUGGGCCACGACUGACGCUGAGGCGCGAAAGCUAGGGGAGCGAACAGGAUUAGAUACCCUGGUAGUCCUAGCCGUAAACGAUGGGCACUAGGUGUGGGGGGACGAUCCCUCCGUGCCGCAGCUAACGCAUUAAGUGCCCCGCCUGGGGAGUA